rnacentral:rRNA from 1 species
ACUCCUACGGGAGGCAGCAGUGAGGAAUAUUGCGCAAUGGGGGAAACCCUGACGCAGCGAUGCCGCGUGAGUGAAGAAGGCCUUCGGGUCGUAAAGCUCUGUCAAGUGGGAAGAACAGCCUUAGGGCUAAUAUCCUUAGGGUGUGACGGUACCACUGAAGGAAGCACCGGCUAACUCCGUGCCAGCAGCCGCGGUAAGACGGAGGGUGCAAGCGUUAUUCGGAUUUAUUGGGCGUAAAGAGCGUGUAGGCGGCCGGUCAAGCCAGAUGUGAAAGCCCAGGGCUUAACCCUGGAAGUGCAUUUGGAACUGGUUGGCUUGAGUUCGGGAGAGGGAAGUGGAAUUCCGGGUGUAGAGGUGAAAUUCGUAGAUAUCCRGAGGAACACCGGUGGCGAAGGCGACUUCCUGGACCGAAACUGACGCUGAGACGCGAAGCGUGGKGAGCAAACAGGAUUAGAUACCCUGGUAGUCCACGCUGUAAACGAUGGCGCUAGGUGUGGGGGGUUUUUAAUCCCUCCGUGCCGCAGCUAACGCAUUAAGCGCYCCGCCUGGGGAGUACGGCCGCAAGGUUGAAACUCAAGGAAUUGACG